AGGCAAAUAAGCCAGCUUGUGGAAGGGGCCUCUGGGUGGCAGCUCUGGGCUUUUGGGUGUUGGACAACCAUAGGCAAAACUGAAAUGGAACAGGGGCAGAAAAUAGCACACUUUUACUCUACGCAACUGUUGCUUUUUCAUGAUCUUCAGGAAUUUUACUGGGAUAAUUAUCCAAAUAAAUUGCAAGCAUUCUAUCCAAAUGGACAUCCAUAAAAAUUCAUCAGAGAGCAUUUUACUACUGAGCUGCAAAGGGAAAAACUUAAAAUGGAUAUGAAAAGUGAAGAAAGUGAUCAUAGGAGAAAACCAUUUCAGAUGACAAGAGCACCUCAAAGGCAGCAGCCUCAAGGAGCAGCCAUGGCCCCAGACUUGUCGCACGGAUGCAGAAAACUUAAUGGAGGAGGCUGAGGUCAGAAUGGGAAGAGUUUUUAAAAAAUAAAAAGGGGAGCUAAUAUGUGAGGAACUGAUUGCUGUGCAUUAUUUUCCACUGAACAGACCUUCUUUUAACUUCUAAUCUCAAGCACAUAGCAGCUGUUGUUUUCAUAUUAAAGAUCAGUAAGUGUUUGUUGAAUGAAUGUAUAAAUUCUUCCCCAAUCUCUGUUCCAUGUAAUAAGAACUAAGUUAGCAUUCAAUUAUAAAGAGGACUUAGAAAGUCUGCAGACAUUUUUGAUCAAAAAUCCUUUUAACUGUCUUCUUAUGGUUCCCGGUAACACCUAAGCCCAAAAAACUCAGGUCAUUUCUUGCCUGUACUGUUGCAAUAGCCUCAUAAUAACUAGUCUUCUCCUUUAUCAACCACAGUCGUCUCCGCUACACAAAGAAGAGAGGGUGCUAAUCUAAAGUGUAAAUUAUUUUAAAUCAGCACCCUUCUUGUAAUUUCCCAGUGGUUUUUCCUGUCAUAAGAAUAACAUGCAAAAUUCCUUGCUUGCAAAGCCAGGUAUGACCUUGCCCCGUCUACCUUACUGGCAUCGUCUCUCAUGACUCUUCCCCUUUUUCACUCUCCAUCUUGCCUUUUCCCAACCAUGCCUGCUAGUGAGCCUUAGCCCUUGUGUUUUCUCUGCCAGGGAUGCAUGACUGGCUUCUUUACUUUAUUCUGAUCUCUCUGCUCAAAUGUCAUCUUUUUAGAGAUAGCUUUCCUAAACAUCUUUAAAAGUACCCCAUGAACUGUGAAACACCUUUCCUGCUUUUUCUUCAUAGUACUUAUCACUUCCUGAUAUUAUGUUAGACAACAAGCAAAUAAGUAUAUGCUGUUCCCACUAAAAUAUAAGCUCCAUUUGAACAGGAGCCUUGAUUAUUCCUGAGUAUACCCCUAGUGCCCAGAACCUAGUAGGGCUUUAAUAAAUAUUAGAUUCAUUUGUUGAAUGAAAAAAUGAAUGAAUAAUUGAAUAAAGAUAUCCAGGUAGAGUGUCCGGGCAGCCCAACCUAUGUGAAGCCAGUACAAGAAUGUUUCUGUGACAUAGUGAGCGCAAUUAUUCCUCUAAAUGAUGAACUUGCAUGAGUACACAAGGAUAAAAUUAAGCACGUAGUUUAGAUUUCUGCAAGUCUCUUCCUCAGAUUGAGGAAAAACAAAGAAAUUGAGCUUAUUCUCACCUCAUUCUUACAUGAACUAAAUCCAGAAUAAAGCAUCAUUUAAAUACCAAGCACAUCCCUACCUCAGCCACUCAUGGAAUACUUUAUCUGUAAAGGGACAGAUAGAUAGUAAAUAUUUUUGGCUUUGGGGACCGUACAGUCUGUGUCGCCACUACUCAGCACUUCUGUUGAGGUGUGGAAUCAGCCCUAGACAACACAUAAACAAAUGGGUGUGGCUGUGUUCCAAUAAAAUGUUAUUUAUAAAACUAGGAAAUCAGCAGAUUUAGUCCACAGGCUGUAGUUUGCUGACCCUUGAAUUAGAGAGUCUUCCCCAAAUCCUCUUCCCAAGUUAUUGAAAGAAUGCCCAUAGGACCAUAGCUCCCUCACCUGGUUCUUUCAAGAAAUGAGACAAAUUCAGGGAUGGUUGGAGGGUGGAACGCCUACCUGUGACAUGACUAUUGAGCCUGAUUUCUUUCCUUUUAUCUCUUUAAAGUGAGUCAGGUCUUAACUUUAAACUGUCUCUAAAGUGGCAAUAACUGGGCCAUGUCAAAUACUCCCAAUGACAAAAUUUCUUCUUGGAGAAUGAAUGAGGGUUGCAUACAGUGGUGUGUUGGUAAAUGUUUAGCAACUGGCUCUCUUACUGAUUUCUGUAGUGUAAAUUCUCCCAUCCUGGCCAUCUGAAACUACCAAUAUGAUGUCACUUGAUGUAGAGUUGGGAAAAGACAGUCUCUUGAAUAAGUAUGAGCUGGUUCCAGCCCACUGCUGAACACAUAUUUAAAAGCUACAAUAGCUCUGCUCACUGCCAUUGCAGAGUCUGGAGGAAAGAGUAGCAGGCUUGAUAGGAGCAAUUGGCUGAAUAAUCUUUUGCAAUGCCAAUAAAUAAUGAAAAAGUAUAUAAAUAUAACGCUGUAUAGAAAGCUCUCAAGUUCAGUGUUUGGUUAAAAUACAUACUCAGUAAAUGGUAGCUAUUAUUGUCUUAGUUUAAGUUAUUGCAAGCAUUAAAAUUAAAUGUUUAGCUACAGACUCAAUCCAGUUUUAAUGUCAUUGUGUUAAUAAGGCCUCUUAACAUUGAAGCAACAAAGAUAAAGGAAUUUUUUUGUAGCUAUUCACGAUUCUGCCCAGCUCAAGGUAAAGAUAGCAACAAAAUACUCCAACCAGAAUAAAAGAAGUCUCCACUUGACUGCAGCUCUUCGCAACACUUCACAAGGGUCAAGCUGUGUUAGUUUCCUUCAGUGUUAAACAGAAUGCAUCUUAAGAGAAUAGUUCAAUUAUUGAUUGAAUAGUAGGUUCAAGUUGACUAUAAUCCCAACUAAUACACUCUAAGACCAGGGAUGGGCCGACAGAAGGGUAAAGUUUUCCACUCAAGUCUCGAGGCAAACACUCAGAUAGAAGUAGUAAUAUGGAUGCCUUCUAUUAUUUGGUCACAUACAAUACUGUUCCAGCCCAGUUGUGCAAAACUGGUGAAAUAAAAGGCAAAAAUAUUGACAACAGUUUGGGUAACUGGAUUCCAAAAUGGGCAUCCAUCUAAGAGAAAUUAAUGAAAAAAAAGCAUAUGGACCUUGAAAUACAUUAAUACACAGUUUAGGUUUAAACACUCAGUUUUUAUUAGAAAAGACUAACUUAUCCUGUUUUGAACACUACAAAAGUGCUUUCUGAACCAUUUACUCUCAAACCUCCUCCACCCAUUCCCCUCCAUCUAUAACGCUUUCUGCACAUCUGUAAAAGGUAUGACUUAGUGUUUGGUCUGUGAAAUAAGGUUAAAAAGGAAGCAUUUCUUUUUACAUUCUAGCUAAUGUUGAUAUUUUUCUCAUGCUUCUAUUAGCACAUAAUUCAGAUACAUUAGUUUUGAAGUUUUGAAUCUUCUCUGCUUCUUGAGGGCUCUCUGUUCUAGAUCAACAUGAUCUGUGGAACACCAGCCAAGUCCUGGGCAGAACCCUCCCCGUUGUCCAAAUAUUACUGAAUCAGUUGAGUUUUCUCUGUUGUCAAUGAAUUAUUCCACAUGUUUCUUUGGCUACAUUUUUUUUGGCUUUCUGUUCACAGUAAAUAUA
rnacentral:lncRNA from 1 species